AUGGUUGUGCACGAGGAGGGAGAGAUCAUGCAGAGCGAACAGGACCCGAUGAUGGAGCCCUCUAAGGUCUUGAUGGACCUCACCGUCCUCCACUGCCCCUUGUGCCUCCGCCCCUUGAUGCCUCCAGUGUAUGAGUGCAAGGGAGGGCACCUGGCCUGCGCGGACUGCCGCGUCGAGUGCCCCAAGAACCAGCGGCAGUGCCAGAAGUGCGAGCGCGAUUGUGGCUUCGAUGUGCGGAACACGGCGGUGGACUCCAUCAUUUCGUCGGUGAGGGUGGAGUGCCCGCACGAAGGCUGUGGGCUCUACGUCACUUACCACAAGCUCGCCGAUCACCAGAGCGUGUGUUCGCUCGCACCCUGCAAAUGCCCCGUGCCCGUCUGCGGCUACGAAGGCCCGCUGCCAGUGCUCUACCACCACAUCAGCACCGCGCAUCCCAUGCCCGUGCACAGGAUCCAGUACGGCAAGGUGCUCCAGCUGCAAGUGCCACUUUCGGAGCCAUGGCUUUUGCUGUUCGUGGAGGAGGACCGCUGUGCGUUUUUCUUGGUCGGCGGCGUGCUCGACAUCGGUGCACCUAUCGUCGUGUCGGUCGUCUGCAUCAGAGCGGGGGCGUCCCCACUGCCGCACUACAUGGCCAAGCUGUGGGCGAACGGCCCGCCGGGGGAGCCCAAAGGCACGACCGACGCCGUCAAGGUGGAAAUGGAGGUGACAAGCAGCAAGGAUCCCGACGACGUCGACGUGCAGGAGCUGACCUUCUUGACACUUCCGCCCAAGCUGCUGGCCGGGGCUAAACUUGUGUCCCUCCACAUUCAGAUUGACAAGUUCACGUCCUAA
rnacentral:rRNA from 1 species